AGAGAGCACCAAGUGUCCGAGUGCCAGAGAGCGAGCUGAACUCCUCUAGCUUGGCAGUUGGCCCUCUCAGUCAGUCAGUUUCUGGCAGAGUUCGUUAGCUCCUAGUUAGCACCGGGGGUUUGCAGAGGAGCUGGCUCCCUACCUUGGCGGGGCCGGGGCGGGGCCGGCCACAGUCCUGUGCUGCUUGGACCUCAGAACUGCAGUUGGUGGAGCGACCGGCUGAAUCUGCUGAAGACUGAAUUUCCACAGGGCAGCAGCCACUACAAGAGUAGUGUUACAAUGGACCAUCUUGUUAAAAUGAACUAAGCAUCCCCUGAACCCCGUUACAGUUGAAAUAAUGGGACUUUCUAGCAGGAAUCAAGGCCAGAGUUGUGAGCAAAACAUUAACUUUAAAAGAUUUUGUAAGGAUGGACCCAGACCAAAAGGUUUCUAACGUACAUACUAAGGAUUCUUUACCAAUUCCUGAGAAAGAAGAAAGGACCAGUUAGAAGACUAUAAUAAAGGCAGGCCCACAGACGGCAGAUGGUAUAAAUGCAGUGAAUGUCGGAAAAUGUUUACCCAGAACUCAGGCCUCAUUCAACAUCAGAGAAUUCACACUGGAGAGAAACACUAUGAGUGUUAUCACUGUGGAAAAGCCUUCUGUGUGCGCUCAACCCUCACUGUGCAUCUGUGCAUGAAAGAGUUCACACUGAGAAGUCCAAUACCUGUAACAAGUGUAAGCAAGCCUUUAGUGUGAGAGGACACCUGAUUAUACACCAAAGAGUCUACAAGGGAGAGGAGCCAUAUGACUGCAGUGAAUGUGGGAAAGCUUUCCAUGUGAGCUCAGACCUUAUCAAACAUCAGAGCAUACAUACAGGUGAAAAGCCAUAGGAGUGUGAUAAGUGUGGGAAAGCCUUCAGUGUGAGCUCAGCCCUCGGCAAGCAUCAGAGAGUCCAUACGGAAGAAAAGCCAUGUAAGUGUAAGAAAUGUGGCAAAGCCUUCUAUGUGAACUCAGUGCUUCUUCAUCACUGGACAGUUCACUCUAGAGAAAAGCCAUAUGAGUGUGAGGAAUGUGGAAAAGCAUUCAGUCAGACUCAAGUCAUCACCAGAGAAGCCAUACUGGAGGAAAACCCUACAAGAGUGAUGAGUGUGGGAAAGCUCUCCGAAGAUGCUCUAAACUUACCAAACACCAGAAAGGACAUGCCAAAAGAAAAUGUCAACAGUGGUGUACCUGGGAAAGGUAUUCUAGAUGCCUUUGGUUGCAUCAAAAUGCACACACACACACACACACACACACACACACACACAAAACAAAAAAAAUCAACAUGCCCUCCCUUGAAAUACUGAAGGAAAGUCACUGGAAACAGCUUCAUCAUUGCACACAAAGACAAGUCACCUGUCCUCUCUCUUUAGAAUUCAGCUUUACAACUCAAGGUAUUAUUUUUUUUUAAUAUAAAUCAUUUUCCAGGGGCCAGGGAGAUACCUCAGCUCAGGUCUUCAGAGCCCACAUAAGAAACCCAGAUGUCAGGUGUAGCGGGCAUUUGUAAUCAGUUUUCCUGAAAAUGGAGGCAAAGGCAGGAAAAUUGCCCCAUUCAAAAGUUUCUGGUCCAGCACCUAUAAUAUGAGCACAGCUACAGAAAGAAGAAACCCCUCCUCAAACAGGGUGGAAGACAAGAGCCACGUCCCAAAAGUUAUCAGACAUCCACACCCACGCUGGCUCUCCAUGCGCACACUCAUGCAUCACACUCAUAAGUCAUACUCCAUAACUGUCAGUUUAAUAAGAGGAAACAGGUUGAGCAUUACUUUGGGCUAGGAAGAUGAGUAGCAAGUAAAGGAGCUUGCUACCAAACCCAGUGACCUGAGUCUGAUUCUGGAGCCCACAUGGUAGAAGGAGAGAACUGAGUCCUGCAAGUUGUCUUAACCUCCAUGCACACAGUAGAACAUGUGCACAUUCACAUACAAAAUAAAAAUAGUUUAAAUGUUACUACAAGCAAGCUUCUUGUUUUGUUAUCGUGCUUACUGACAAAGCAUUAAAGUUUGAGUUGUAAUGUGGUUGAUUCAAGAAAGACUGCCCCACCUCAUUAAACCUAAAAAGUCCUA